rnacentral:rRNA from 1 species
AUAUGCGAUACCAGCACUAAAGCACCGGAUCCAUCAGAACUCCGCAGUUAAGCGUGCUUGGGCGAGAGUAGUACUAGGAUGGGUGACCCCCUGGGAAGUCCUCGUGUUGCAUCCC